rnacentral:rRNA from 1 species
CCAUGCAUGUCUAAGUACAUGCCGUAUUAAGGCGAAACCGCGAAUGGCUCAUUAAAUCAGUUAUGGUUCCUUGGAUCGUACCUUACUACUUGGAUAACUGUGGCAAUUCUAGAGCUAAUACAUGCAGCAGAGCUCCGACCUUCGGGGACGAGCGCUUUUAUUAGACCAAAACCAAUCGGACCUCGCGUCCGUUUCUGGUGGUGACUCUGUAUAACUUUGGGCUGAUCGCACGGGCGUGUCCCGGCGACGUAUCUUUCAAGUGUCUGCCUUAUCAACUUUCGAUGGUAGGUUACGCGCCUACCAUGGUCGUAACGGGUAACGGGGAAUCAGGGUUCGAUUCCGGCUAAUUCUAGCUCCAAUAGCGUAUAUUAAAGUUGUUGCGGUUAAAAAGCUCGUAGUUGGAUCUCAGUUCCAGACGGGUGGUCCGCCUACCGGUGGUUACUGCCUGUUCUGAACAGCCAGCCGGUUUCUCUUGAUGAUCUUCACCGGUUGUCUUGGGUGACCGGCAAGUUUACUUUGAAAAAAUUAGAGUGCUCAAAGCAGGCGUGACGCCUGAAUAAUGGUGCAUGGAAUAAUGGAAUAGGACCUCGGUUCUAUUUUGUUGGUUUUCGGAACACGAGGUAAUGAUUAAGAGGGACAGACGGGGGCAUUCGUAUUGCGACGCUAGAGGUGAAAUUCUUGGACCGUCGCAAGACGAACUACUGCGAAAGCAUUUGCCAAGAAUGUUUCCAUUAAUCAAGAACGAAAGUUAGAGGUUCGAAGGCGAUCAGAUACCGCCCUAGUUCUAACCAUAAACGAUGCCAGCCAGCGAUCCGGCUGUGUUCCUCAAAUGACACGCCGGGCAGCUUCCGGGAAACCAAAGCUUUUGGGUUCCGGGGGAAGUAUGGUUGCAAAGCUGAAACUUAAAGGAAUUGACGGAGGGGCACCACCAGGAAUGGAGCCUGCGGCUUAAUUUGACUCAACACGGGAAAACUUACCCGGCCCGGACGCAGGAAGGAUUGACAGAUUAAGAGCUCUUUCUUGAUUCUGCGGGGUGUGGUGCAUGGCCGUUCUUAGUUGGUGGAUCGAUUUGUCUGGUUAAUUCCGUUAACGAACGAGACUCUAGCCUACUAAAUAGACGUUCCGAUCAUCUACGUCGGACGUCCUUCUUAGAGGGACAAGCGGCGUCUAGCCGCACGAGACAGAGCAAUAACAGGUCUGUGAUGCCCUUAGAUGUCCGGGGCCGCACGCGCGCUACAUUGAAGGAAUCAUCGUGUGCUUUCCCUAUCCGACAGGAUUGGGUAACCCGUUGAACCUCCUUCGUGCUGGGGAUAGGGGCUUGUAACUGUUCCCCUUGAACGAGGAAUUCCCAGUAAGCACGAGUCAUCAGCUCGUGUUGAUUACGUCCCUGCCCCUUGUACACACCGCCCGUCGCUACUACCGAUUGAAUAAUUUAGUGAGGUCUUCGGACUGGUGCUCGGAGCGGCCCUCCAGGGUCGCGCCGGCGCGUCGGAAAGAUGACCAAACUUGAUUAUUUAGAGGAAGUAAAAGUCGUAACAAGGUUUCC